UACGUAGGGUGCGAGCGUUGUCCGGAAUUACUGGGCGUAAAGAGCUCGUAGGUGGUUUGUCGCGUUGUUCGUGAAAACUCACAACUCAAUUGUGGGCGUGCGGGCGAUACGGGCAGACUGGAGUACUGCAGGGGAGACUGGAAUUCCUGGUGUAGCGGUGGAAUGCGCAGAUAUCAGGAGGAACACCGGUGGAGAAGGCGGGUCUCUGGGCAGUAACUGACGCUGAGGAGCGAAAGCGUGGGGAGCGAACAGG
rnacentral:rRNA from 1 species